rnacentral:rRNA from 1 species
AAUGAACGUUGGCGGCAUGGAUUAGGCAUGCAAGUCGCACGAGAACCCAAUUAGCUUGCUAAGAGGGGGACAGUGGCGAAAGGGAGAGUAACGCGUGGUUACUUGCCCUCGAGACCGGGAUAGCGUCGGGAAACUGGCAGUAAUACCGGAUAACAUCUACGGAUCAAAUGGUGUGAUUCCGCUCGAGGAUAGGACCGCGUACUAUUAGCUUGUUGGUGAGGUAAUGGCUCACCAAGGCUGCGAUGGUUACCGGGUGUGAGAGCAUGGGCCGGCUCACGAGGACGGAGACACUGCCCGGACAUCUACGGAUGGCUGCAGUCGAGAAUCUUCGGCAAUGGAAGAAGGUCUGAACGAGCGAUACCGCGUGCGGGAUGAAGGCCCUCUGGUUGUAAACCGCUGUCAGUUGUUAGGAAAUGCUAGGGGGUUCUCCCAUUAGUUGGACCGAUCUUCAGAGGAAGGACGGGCUAAGUUCGUGCCAGCCGCCGCAGUAAUAC